UACGUAGGGGGCAAGCGUUGUCCGGAAUCAUUGGGCGUAAAGAGCGUGUAGGCGGCUCGGUAAGUCCGCUCUGAAAGCCCGGGGGCUCAACCCCGGGAGGCGGGCGGAUACUGUCGGGCUAGAGUCCGGAAGAGGCGAGUGGAAUUCCUGGUGUAGCGGUGGAAUGCGCAGAUAUCAGGAAGAACACCAACGGCGAAGGCAGCUCGCUGGGACGGUACUGACGCUGAGACGCGAAAGCGUGGGGAGCGAACAGG
rnacentral:rRNA from 1 species